AUUGAACGCUGGCGGCAGGCCUAACACAUGCAAGUCGAGCGAGCGGCGGACGGGUGAGUAAUGUAUGGGGACUGCCCGAUAGAGAGGGAUAACUACGGGAAACGGUAGCUAAUACCGCAUACUAUCGGAUAACCCAUAUGGGAUUAGCUAGUAGGUGAGGUAAUGGCUCACCUAGGCGACGAUCCCUAGCUGGUCUGAGAGAAUGAUCAGCCACACUGGGACUGAAACGCGGCCCAGACUGCUACGGAGGAAGCAGUGGGGAAUAUUGAACUAUGGGUGCAAGCCUGAGGCAGCCAUGCCGCGUGUGUGAAGAAGGCCCUAGGGUUGUAAAGUACUUUCAGGCGGGAGGCGUUACCUACAGAAGAAGCAACGGCUAACUCCGUGCCAGCAGCCGCGGUAAUUC
rnacentral:rRNA from 1 species